CCUCUUAUUCUUCUUCUCCGCGUGUGGGAGUAUAAGAUGGAGAGAGUGAUGAUAGUUGUGAUGAUGAUGCAUUGAGAUUGAUGAGGGAUUAUGUCUAAUGCUCAAAGAGAGUUCAAAUUCAAUUGAUGAUUGUGCUGUGAUUUUUAGUGAGUGUGAUUGUCAAUGAAUUAUGUGAUGAUUCUGAAUGAUUGUCAAUCAGAUAAUUUAGAGAGAAUUAUCAAAGAAUUAAGAAUUCAGAGAGAGUGUUUUUGGUGAAUGUGAUGGAUAUCCAUGAUUGGAGAGUGAUGAUGAGUUUAUAGAGCUUGAAGGUGCAACCAAUUAGGCAGGCUCGGGCCAGGUUAGUUGGAAGUUAGAGUAAGUUAAAUCAUGUUAAGUUUCUAAGAGCAAAGUGGUUAGGGAUGAAUAACUCUGUUAAUUUUGUCAAGUUUAGUUAUGAAUGUUUGUUAAAUCUAUUGACAUUGUUAGGUUCUGUUAGAGUUUGUUGUUAGCAGUUAGUGAAAUGAAGUUAAGUUAUUAGUUACAGUUAACUUGAUAAAACUGUUAGUGCAUACUUUUAGAAUUUAGUGGUUUUACUUUGUCAAUUCGGAAAGUUGUGAACUGAAUGUUAGGGAGUAUUAAAAGGUUGAAAUGUUAGUGAAGAUAUUAGUUAAAAUGGAAUUUGUUAACUUAGUUAUAAUUAGAGUGUAAGUAACGUAGUUGUCAAUUGAUAUGAAAAUUUGAAGUAGUUAGUGAAUGACAUUUUCUGUUAGGAACAUUGGUUAUGUGAUAGUUAAAUCGAAUUGUUGAAUUAUUAUGUUAGUUAGUCAUAGAUACUGAUGAAAAUUUGAAGAUAAAUGUCAUGAAAAUGAGUGAAUUUGAUUGUUAGUUAAAAAAAUUAGAACUGGUAAAAUAGUUAAUGUGGAAAGAAAAUGAUUAGGUUAAGUGGUCUUGCAAUGUUAGUAGGUUGGAUUGGACUAUCAUGGUUGUUUAAUGCAUUGUAUAAUUAACUUGUUGGUAGGUUAGUUAAUUGAUUAUACAUGUUUUAUAAGAAUUUGAAAUUGUUUUUGUCUAUGAUGAUUGGUUAGAACUGAAGUUGAGUUAAUAUGUUAGUGAAAUCCAAUGGUUAGCUAAAGGCUGUUAUGGAUGGAUUGAGUGAGUGUAUUUGAAUGCCUAUACAUGUGAAUCAUGCUUGAUUGGUCAUGGAAAGUUUUAGAACUUUGAAGACUUAGGAAGUUCAUUUGACAGUAGGAAUUCAAUGUGAAAUAUUGAAGGUUAUACUAGUUGGUAUGCUAUUUGAAUUGGCUUGUUUCUUGGUUUUUUUGCAUGUUUAAAUUACUUCUAAUUUUGAUAUGGAGGUAAUGUUAUAAAUUGGAAAUGGUAUGAAUGUAAUGAAUAUAUGUAUAUGAAUGGUAUGCUGAUGAUGUUUUAUUGAUCUAGCCUUGUUUAUUGCAAGUGUGCACAUAGGAUGGCUUGGUAUGCAAGGCUUGAUCAAAGUUGUUUAGCACAUCAUAACACAUUAAGAUGGAAGUCAAAAUCAAAGGAAGGAGAUUGGAGACUUGGAUGCUCAAUAAUGGGGGGACCUUGUGGAUGUAGAGAAAAUGAGAUUAGGGUCAUAAGAUUAGAUAGUUGACUUUGGUUAACUGGUUGACCAAAGAGUCAUUAGUUAACCAAAGUAAAAUGUAGGUCAAAAAUGAAAUUUUUGUAUAGGAUUGGGCUUUGAAUUUCUUGUAAUGGAAUUGGUGGAUUUUUACUUUGACUUUUGUAAUAUAACUUGCUUUCCCUCCGAAGUUUUGAAUAUUUGAAUAUGUGUUGAUCUUUUGCAAAAUAACCUUGACCCUUGAAUUUGAAUCA
rnacentral:lncRNA from 1 species